GACGAACGCUGGCGGCGUGCUUAACACAUGCAAGUCGAACGGAAAGGCCCUGCUUUUGUGGGGUGCUCGAGUGGCGAACGGGUGAGUAACACGUGAGUAACCUGCCCUUGACUUUGGGAUAACUUCAGGAAACUGGGGCUAAUACCGGAUAGGAGCUCCUGCUGCAUGGUGGGGGUUGGAAAGUUUCGGCGGUUGGGGAUGGACUCGCGGCUUAUCAGCUUGUUGGUGGGGUAGUGGCUUACCAAGGCUUUGACGGGUAGCCGGCCUGAGAGGGUGACCGGCCACAUUGGGACUGAGAUACGGCCCAGACUCCUACGGGAGGCAGCGGUGGGGAAUAGUGCACAAGGGGCGGAAGCCUGAUGCAGCAACGCCGCGUGCGGGAUGACGGCCUUCGGGUUGUAAACCGCUUUCGCCUGUGACGAAGCGUGAGUGACGGUAAUGGGUAAAGAAGCACCGGCUAACUACG
rnacentral:rRNA from 1 species